AGCAGCAGCGGUAAUUCCAGCUCCAAUAGCGUAUAUUAAAGUUGUUGCAGUUAAAAAGCUCGUAGUUGAAUUUCGGGAUCAAUAUGUUGGUCGUGCCUUGGUACGUACUGGCAUUAUCGAUUCCUACCUUCUGAAGAACCUCGAUGUCAUUAAUUUGGUGUCUUGGGGAAUCAGGACUGUUACUUUGAAAAAUUAGAGUGUUUAAAGCAGGCUCGCGCUUGAAUACAUUAGCAUGGAAUAAUGAAAUAGGACGUUUGAUUCUAUUUUGUUGGUUUCUAGGAUCGACGUAAUGAUUAAUAGGGAUAGUUGGGGGCAUUAGUAUUCAAUUGUCAGAGGUGAAAUUCUUGGAUUUAUUGAAGACUAACUACUGCGAAAGCAUUUGCCAAGGAUGUUUUCAUUAAUCAAGAACGAAAGUUAGGGGAUCGAAGACGAUCAGAUACCGUCGUAGUCUUAACCAUAAACUAUGCCGA
rnacentral:rRNA from 1 species